rnacentral:rRNA from 1 species
UACGUAGGGUGCAAGCGUUGUCCGGAAUUAUUGGGCGUAAAGAGCUCGUAGGCGGUCAGUCGCGUCUGCUGUGAAAACUCGGGGCUUAACUCCGGGCCUGCAGUGGGUACGGGCUGACUAGAGUGCGGUAGGGGAGACUGGAAUUCCUGGUGUAGCGGUGAAAUGCGCAGAUAUCAGGAGGAACACCGGUGGCGAAGGCGGGUCUCUGGGCAGUUCCUGACACUGAGGCACGAAGGCCAGGGGAGCAAACGGG